rnacentral:rRNA from 1 species
GACGAACGCUGGCGGCGUGCUUAACACAUGCAAGUCGAACGAGUGGCGAACGGGUGAGUAACACGUGGGUGAUCUGCCUUGCACUUCGGGAUAAGCUUGGGAAACUGGUUCUAAUACCGGAUAGUGCAAGAUGAGCUCGCGGCCUAUCAGCUUGUUGUUGGGGUAUUGGCUACCAAGGCGCGAGGGGUAGCCGGCCUGCGAGGGUGUACGGCCACAGUGGGACUGAGAUACGGCCCAGACUCCGACGGGAGGCAGCAGUGGGGAAUAAUGCACAAUGUGCGGAAGCCUGAUGAAGCGACGCCGCGUGGGGGAUGAAGGCUUUCGGGUUGUAAACCUCUUUCGCUAUCGAACGGGUAGGUGGAGAAGAAGCGCCGGCUAACUACGUGCCAGCAGCCGCGGUAAGUC